UGGACACUUAUUUUUAUUCAGUUUCUUCUCAAGGUGAAGACAACUUUUUGUAAUGUCCUAGAGAAAUAUAGUAGCUGUUUACCCUUUGCAAGUAAAAAGGGUAGAUCAUUCCACUAUUGACAUUU
rnacentral:snoRNA from 1 species